GCCCCUUAUUUAUAUAAAUAUUAUACUAGCAUUUACUAUCUCACUUCUAGGAAUAUUAGUAUACCGCUUACACCUGAUAUCCUCCCUACUAUGUCUAGAAGGAAUAAUAUUGUCAUUAUUUAUUAUGGCUACUCUCAUAACCCUUAACACCCACUCCCUCUUAGCCAACAUCGUGCCUAUCACCAUAUUAGUCUUUGCUGCCUGCGAGGCAGCAGUAGGCCUAGCCCUACUAGUUUCAAUCUCCAACACAUACGGCUUGGACUACGCCCAUAACCUAAACCUACUCCAAUGC
rnacentral:lncRNA from 1 species